rnacentral:sRNA from 1 species
CAGAUGGGGAAAUAAAGGCUCAGAGAAGUGGACACGGAUUUGCUCUGCAAUCUUGGCGCCGGGUUUAUUUCCGCCUCUGGAAUGCAGCACUGGGGGGAUUCCUGGCAGUGCCGGACCACGUGGAGGACAUGAAGGCAGGCCGUGUGGUGGUCUCCGACCCCCGAGCUGGAGGUAGCUGCAUCUGGUACUACGAGGAUGGGAUGCUGAAGAACCAGAUGGCCCCCACAAUGAGCCUGCAGGUGAUUGGACCCCCUAGCUCAGGCUCCAAGGUGGUGCUGUGGGCCGAGAGCCGCCUGCCACGCCAGACGUGGAGCAUCAGUGAAUCGGGCCACAUCUGCAGCCAGAUGUUCGAAGGCCAGAUCCUGGAUGUGAAGGGAGGCCGGGGCUACGACCGGGACCACGUGGUGCUAUGGGAGCCGGAUGAGGACAGAGCAUCCCAGAUCUGGACCAUCCAUGUGCUUUGAACCUU